rnacentral:rRNA from 1 species
UGGUAGUGUAUUGGACUACCAUGGCUUUAACGGGUAACGGAGGAUUAGGGUUCGAUUCCGGAGAGGGAGCCUGAGAAACGGCUACCACAUCUAAGGAAGGCAGCAGGCGCGUAAAUUACCCAAUCCUAAUUCAGGGAGGUAGUGACAAGAAAUAACGGACUGAGGCUUAUGCCUCAGGAUUGCAAUGAGUAGAAUUUAAACCCCUUUAUGAGGAUCAAUUGGAGGGCAAGUCUGGUGCCAGCAGCCGCGGUAAUUCCAGCUCCAAUAGCAUAUAUUAAAGUUGUUGCAGUUAAAAAGCUCGUAGUUGAACUUCUGGAGGAGUCCCAAUGUCGGCUUGAUGCUUGUGCAGCGGGGCUCUUCCAUCCUUCUGUUAACGUUUCACGGUAUUAACUUACUGGUUGCGGGCUCAGAUAUUUUACCUUGAGAAAAUUAGAGUGUUUCAGGCAGGCUUGCGCUUGAAUACAUUAGCAUGGAAUAAUAGAAUAGGACUUUAGUCUCCUUUGUUGGUUUGAGGGACUGGAGUAAUGAUUAAUAGGGACAGUUGGGGGCAUUAGUAUUUAAUUGUCAGAGGUGAAAUUCUCGGAUUUGUUAAAGACUAACUUAUGCGAAAGCAUUUGCCAAGGAUGUUUUCAUUAAUCAAGAACGAAAGUUAGGGGAUCAAAGACGAUCAGA